rnacentral:lncRNA from 1 species
CUUUGACUUUGACUGCUGAGGAGUAAGAGGCAAAAAAGCUGCAAAUAUGGCCAAGACUGAAGGCAGAGGACUGGCUUAGCUGGGCAAUUCAUCUGACCCAACAGGGAAUUUAAUCUGUUUUUCACAUUCCUUACUGUCUCCCUAAAGUUACUGUACCAUUUUACUGUGUGUUAACUCAGAAGCUGUCUUCCUCUGAAAUUAUUAGAUAAUUCACUGCUAUUUACAAGCCUAUCAUUUUCCUACCACAUUGGUCAAAUUCCUAAGUAAUUAUUAUAUCACUCGUUCCAGGUCUGUAUGUUGUAGGACAGGAUGGGAGUCGAUUUAGAUUUGUAGGUACAUACUUUUUGUGCAAAUCUGUACAUUUCAGAUAGUAUGCUUCACUGUUGUGAAUCCCAUGGGAUUUUCUGAAGAUGGCUAUAAGGCCAUCUCCACCUUCAGUAGAACUGUGAGAACCUGCCUAAGAAAUAGAUCCAAGAAAUUUGCUGACAAACAUCGAGGGGAAGCAGAGCAGGGUGUUUUCCUUUUCAAACUUGCCAGAGUAGUAUGAAACCCCAUGUAUUUAGGGGGCAAACAUUUAAACUUAUAAGACCGGUAUUUGUUCUCCCUCAUCUCUGUCAUUACCCAUGCAUGGCUACUGCUCUGUCUUUAAUAUAGACCAGUUUGAGGCACAGGUGGGUCUCAAGCCAUGUUCUGUGUCAAAUAGAUACAGAAUUCUUUGGAAACAGGACUAGCUCUAUUGCUUUUGUGCCAGUCAAGCACCAAACUGUAGUGAGAGUCUCACUUUACUACUGCCUUUGGGCAAGGCCAGGCUAAGAUUUGCUGGCUGUUCCUUUAAGGAUGCUGAGAGUGGAUGUUGUAAUAAAGCCAGCUGGAAAUGUUUUCAGAGUUGUCAUUAAAGCAAGUAGAAAUACCAGAAGAACAGGAAAAGCACAAAACCCAAACAGAGUUCAGUAACUGCAAUACGCACAGGACAGCCAGAAGAAAGACUGGAAAUAAUAAAAGAGGACCUUUCCCUUGGAAGCAAGAAAGGAAGAGCUCCAGCGGACAAGAUUGAAAAUAGGAUGUCCGUAUCCAAAGUGGAUUUCUGACACAGUGAAUUCCAGCUGAGGAUCUGGCCUGACAUUCUUUCUGUAUCUGUUAGUGACUCUCAUCUGCUGGGGUCCAGAGUUACCAGCUCUCUGUGACAGGAAAGGCACAGCACACCUAGGAGGCAAAGGAGAAAAAACAGCAGUUGUGAACUAAGUACUUGUCAUUCAACAUGGUGCUUGGCGAUGAUCAGUGCUCAACCCUCUUCAGCAGCUUUUGCCUCGAAAGGCUUUCGCUGUGGUUAGCUUUGUCAAUGCAGAUUGAGUGACAGUGUCAUUUGUCUCGAAGUUAAAGAUCGUCCAAGUCAUUUUUUAUACACUGUUUACAAAGACAGAGAAACAGCA